ACAAAUCCUUUUCCUCACCGUGAUGGCUGC
rnacentral:piRNA from 1 species